ACAAAAUUUCAUAACGAUCCAUCUGAUAUUUGUUAAGAUAUUUCAGUCUUGACCAAAGUGGUGGAAGGACAGACCGACAUUCAUAGAGCUAUGCCACUAGCAUGGCUAAAAACAAUGAAAUAGUAAUGCAACACAUUAGCAAAACUUACAGGCAAAACCAGAAGGAAAAAACAAUUAUAUAUACAACUAUAAAACUAAAUACAGUAUUAUUCACAAUAUGAAAUGUGAGUUUACCCUCAUAAUAACCUGUGUCUAAUGCCUGGAUGAUCUACAUCUGGACUUCCUCUGUAUUUUCACAUACAGUAUAUGAGGUUGGAUGUUAAGGUCACUAAUUCACAGGCAGUAACUUUGUGUCAGACUUCAUAUUAAAUCCUGUCCAUGCUCAGCCUAUGGCAUCUCUCUGAAGCCCAAACAUUUUGACCUCUGACCUCCUGGGAGGUUUGGUUUACAGCCAGAGUUAACAGUGCUGAUAGCAUGCUGAGAACCUGCCCAUUUGAUCCAGGAGACAGCUUGCUCGGGACUGUUUUACAACCAGUGUCAUCCAGUAGAUUAUCAAAGAAAAGUUAAUUUAUAAUCCUGUAAAUAACCAUGUUCAUGUUUUGUUCCCAAUUUCCAUGAAUCCAUGGCAAUAUCCAGCCUAAAAUAGAAAGUAUGGGCACACAGCAACACUUACAUGAACUAGAUUUUCAAGAAUUGAUACAUAAAAUACGUAUUUAAUGAUCUGGUUUAGUACCAGAGGCAUGAUUAUAGUUAAGUGUGGUAGGUAAUGUCAUCUAGCAGUUAUGGGACACACGCAACACUUCUUGUAUAAUCUUGGACAGACGAGAGAGGAUUUAUAAACAUGACACAAGUCACUUUCUGUGUUUUACACAAGGCAGGACAAACUCUGCUCUGUGUUGUACUCGUGAAAAACAUUCUGGGACUUCUCAGUCGUGGAUGAACUGGUGGGGACUCCCAUUGUGGGCAUAGUGUGAUUAUUGGGGGUGGAAAAGAGCAUCAAAAUGUCCUGAUACAUUUACAAUCCUGAAAGUUGUGUUACUUUAUUAUAUAUUAUUGUUGAUUUUGGAAAUAGUAAUAAUAAAAAUCUUUCUAUGCCACUUUCUAAUAAGGCACCUUUUAUAAAAGGUUUAUAAGUAGUAACUAAUGGCUUUAUUAAUGAUUAAUAAAUUACUUUUUAAUGCUUUAUACAUCACUUACAAGCCAUUAAUAAGCACAACUAAUCCCUUUUUUCAAUUUGGUAAUAAUGCAGUAAUAAAUGUUGAUAAUACAUUAAUAAAUGCUCAUGGGUUUCUCACUUUCAAUAAUACCCUCUGGUCUAUAGUUGUAAAUACUAAUAGGUCAUUAAUAAACAUUUUGUACAAAAAUCCAUCCUGUCUGCAGUUGUGAAUGUUGUUAAGUUAAGUGGUAAAAGGUAAAUACCCACAAAAGGGAUUUUUCCUCAUAAAUCCUUUAUAAAAAAAGUGUCUUAUUGGAAACUGGUACUAAAAUCUUUACUUAAGGUCCACUUGCUAGCUUUCAGCUGCAUCUCACGGUCUUCAUAAGCAGAUGGAAUUUGCUCUUUUGUCAGGGAUGUGGCUCAGUUGUCAUCAUAUGACCUAAAUACAGAACUUUGGUCACAUGAUAACAAGUGGUCAUACAUAGGGAGAAAUUGUAACCAUGGACUCUGUUCAAAGAUAGUCUUUGGUGUUGGAUGAAAAUGGCCUAUUUGAUCUUUCUCCGGCCAUCCAUUGACUGCUGGUCGAUAACCCUUUAAUACUAAUGCUUUUGCAUAUUUGAGGCAAUUUACUACAUAUCAUGUAUACCAUUCACUACUGCUGACCUUCCAGGCAGCCAUUGGUUUCCAAUAGUGUAUUUCAGCUCAAUAUGAAAUUCAGCUUAGAUAAUGGAUGGCAGUGAACAACAUUUAUUUGUCAGGGUUAUUUUAUUGUUGUGUAGUAAUGCAGUGCAGACUUCUCAAAUCAAAAUAAGCUUCAUUUGUCGGAACUGUUUAAACAAACAAAAGGCAAAUGUGAAUGUUGUGAAAAGGAUAAUAUUUGGAAGCUACUUUCAUUGCAAAGUCUGUUGUUUAGCAGCUGAUUCAUAAGUCUUGGAUGUCACAGCUUCCCAACAGUGCAUGAACGCACCAUACUGGCACACAAAUCAGCCCAUGCUUGCAAUUGUAUAACCGUGCAACAAUAACAUAUAACAAAAAUAGGGAAGCAAACUAAAUGUUCACUUUGGUAGAUUAUGUCUCUCAAAAAAGUUUCAGAUCUCUCCAAGUUGAUUUAAAAAAACAAUAGCAUUAAUAUACUCAAAAAUCUAGGAGCUUUGGUUUGCUAUGGAAAAUGGUCAGCAGAAUGUAAAAUAUAUGUGACUUGUAGUGAAUUGGCAAAAUUAUGCAAAACCAUCAGUGUGACCUUUUGAGUAAAACUAAGCAGUAGCUUGUUAAGAAUGUAAAAGGUCAGUAAAAGUUACAUAUGAAUUAUCUCCUGCACUGCAAAAAGGAGCAGAAUACAGAGUUCAGUAUGUGGCAUGUUAAACAUUUUGUAACAAACAAGUAAAACCUUAAAAAAUAUAAUACUAUGAAACUCAUGUUCCUACUAAUAGAAGCUUAUUGUAUUCAUCUUUGUAUCAGAUUUUCCUAUGACAUGGAUAAUCACCAUAAUCUAAUCAGUGUAUUCAGACUCCAGAAUAAUUUGAGCCACUGAUGCAACAACUGAUUUGUAACACAGGACAUUCGUCAUUUUGGCAGCCAAAAACCCUUUUUAAAAAAUUGAAUUAAUUUCUAACUGCAACAACAUGGCAUAACUUUCUGUUGAUGAAUGAAUGUAAGUAAAUGGGAAUCCAUCUUAUCAGCUACUGAAACAACAACAUAUUUGGUCAAGGGCCAGUUCUGGUAUCCUUCUUACCAGAACUGGCCCUGGUUUAGCCUCGUCCCCAAACAGUUAACACUUGAUUUCAAUUUGCUUUCGGGAUAAUUUUUGCCCCCCUUAAUUGAGAUAGAAAACCAUGUUGUGCCAAGCUGAAACCAGCAGUGAUGCAGCGGUGCUUCGGAGGGAGUCUCGCUUAUGGACCAUCUGUCUUAUUGAUGGCCCAAAAUAUCUAAGCCCUCAAUUUGAUGUCACAAACUGAAAUCGAGGGCACAACAGAUAGGUGUUAUUUCAACAAGACAUAUUGCCUCCAAAAUGAUGGCAAUAGAUUUUUUUUUACAUAUGGGACAGCUAUUUCUAGGUCAAGAUCCCUUCUGGGUCAGACUAGAAACAUUUUAUUUUAAAAAUACAUGAACCCAAAGCUAUAAAUCAUUUGAACUCAAAAUGAUUUAAUGCAUGGUGAAUAUCUAUGUUUCAGUUAUUGAUAAAGGCAAUCAUUUAACUGAAUAUUGUGAAAGAUGUUAAUCUUGUUAACUGAAGUGACAAAUCUGUGCCUUAUGUCUCCUUACUGCUGCUAUUUAAUUAUAAUUAAUUCAUGAUGAAGUUGGACGGCAAUGGCGUUGCUAACUGGACAGUCAACAUCAUACAUGAUUUGUUGUUGUCUUCAACCACAAGCUCCAUUUUCACCAAAAUUUACCAUACGGAUGGAUUAGAUAAUGAUGUAUGAAUUUAAAAACACACCUUAUGGAUUUCAACUGUAAUGCUACCACAACUUGUGCAAACAGGAUUGAUGCAGAUACAAUUUAUAGCUGGCCAGUUCCUGAUGCAGUGUUUUAAAGCAGAUACAAAAUGAGUGAAUUUAAAACAUACAGUACAAGUAGCUAAGGGCAGUACUGCAGACAAAACAUACUUGAUUAUGUAAUGUAAAUUACUGACUGAAAAGCAAAUGGUACAAGUGCCAACAGGGAUUUACACAACAACAACAACACAAACGUGCAAUGUGUAGACUGCUUUAUCCAGGAAUACUGGAAUAUAUUCAGGUUCAAAGUCUUGGUAGCACUUUAAAUCCAAGUUUAUUUUGGUAUACAAGCUCUAACAAACAGUCUUUGAGUUUGUCUGCUCUCAGUGGAGCAGCUUCACAAAAUAUCAAACGAAGCCAUCACUGAUAAGCACUGUGAACGUCUGGUUUCUGGAUUUGGUAGUGAGUGGUCCAUAUCUAAAGCUGCCCAUGAUUAUUACUAAAAUAUUCUUUUGUAUGAAUUAUGCUAUAAUGCAUGACAUGAAAUUGCCGAGAUAACUGAACUGAUAUUUAGCAGCAACAUUGCAUAACGUCUUUGAUGCUGACUUUUGGUGGCGCCAAACAAAACAAUCAGUGUAUUUUAAGAAAAACACCAAAUCUAAUGGAACACCAUAAAGAGAAAAUAAAGGAGCCUUUCUGAUCAAACAAUGCUUUGUGAGAAUGAAGCUAAUAAGCUCUAAGUGUCUAUUAAGAGGGUUCCACAUUAACUACCUCAUCCCAGACUCUUUUACCACACGUUUAUUUCCCAAUUAGCAGUAAUCCUCUGAAUGGCUGGCAGAGGAUCUUGGUAGCCUCUCUGAAAUAGGCUACAAUUAGACGCAUUGUAUUGAAUUAGCAUUGUGGAGCCUGAAGUCGCGCUCCUGUGAGGGCUAGUGUUUUAUUUGUCACCUGGGAGCGCUGCUCUGAGGCCAGGUCACAACUCCACACAGCAGGGACCCUGUAAAUUGCCCGUUGCUGCCGCCUAGGCUGACCUGCAACAGGGCUGCCAUUCAACCAUCUUGUGAGGAAUGUCUCCUGCACCACUGGGGGGAGGGUUGAGCGGAAGUUAGAUGAGGUUUAAAGGGAACAGACGGAUGAACCGUGUGCGGACAGUGUUUCCUUUGAAAAGCCAUUCAAAGAAUCCUUUGACAGCGACUGUGUCAGCUGAUUACAAGUCCUUUGACUCUUUUCUCUGGUGUCUAAUGUGCUGAAACACUUCUUGAGAUUUUACAUACAAAACAUGAUCUACCUCUAAAAUCAGCUAUAACAUUAAAACGCUGCUGACAUGAUAAUGCAUCAGUAAUAAUAAUCCAAUAAUAUAAUAUCUAUAAUAAUAUAUAACAUUCUAAAAAGAGCCAUUGAACAUAAUGAGUACUUUUCAUUUUGAUAUAUUAAGUAUAUUCUGCUGAUUCUGUAAAGUAAAAUUCUGAAUGAAGGACUUUUACUUGUAUUUUAACACUGUGGUGUUACUACUUUUAUUUAAGUAAACAAACUGAAUGCUUAUUCCACCACUGGUCUUGUAUCAGUGGAAAAUAUCUGUUUGAUUUUUUAAACAUCAUUAAACUAACGUCAAUUGAACGGAAUGUCACUGACAGCUCUUAGCUAACUAGCAAGUUGAGCUAAUGUCAGCUAGCUAACGCCAUUUUUUCAUCAUUUCAGUCUAACAUUACAAUACUGCUACACAACACAGUGCUGAAGUUAUCAAAUGGCAAAUACUUAAAAAUAAUGCAAGUUAUACCCAUUUAUUCUGUUUAAAGCAUUGGAACUCAAAAAACCCGCAGCUCCUCAGACUUGAAGGCUGAUGGCUAGCUGAACCAGAAGAAUACAGUUUAUGUCUGUGCGAUUUCAUGCACCUCACAGCCAUGGUUUUAUGAAAUAAGUGUGUUUUUAUAUGAAAUUUAUUGAAAUUGACAACAUUAGAGAUAAAAACAUCUGUGUUCAGAUGUGCUUACAUAUACCCACUGGCUAGCUUACUUUUUAUCUCCCAUGACUUUAUGGGGCGGCUGUGACUUAGUCGUAGAGCGGGUCGUCCACCAAUCGGAAAGUUGCUGGUUUGUUGAAGUGUCCUUGGGCAAGACACUGAACCCCAAAUUGCUCCAGAGGGCUGUGCCUUCGGUGUGUGAGUGAUUAGAUUAGGUUUUAUGUUAUUAUGUCUAAUAAUGUUUCAGUUGUGAAAUUAAUAUCAUGCUCAUAGAAACAUUAUGACAACACCUCAUUACUACUUGGUGGAAUUGUUGUAAGGUUUUUACAUUAAUUAAACAAAUGUUCAUAAGGCCACAGGAGUCAGAAGAAGGAAAAUUCAGAGGUGAUUAAAGAGGUUAGUCGGGAUUUCUGAAAAAAGGCGUGAAACAGUCAGACUCGCUCUCUGCAGCCAAAAGCACCACGACUUGUGCGUCAUCAAAUUACCACGAGUGUUGCCAGUCUCAAUUGUAGGGUAACAUAAUGAGUGUGCUUUGCCGUAAUAACGAAUAAUUGCAAUUCUAAUAGCACGGCAUAUUUGUCUUUAGCUCUAUAUAGUUUCAUCAUACCUCCUGCUGUUUUUUCUUUCUUUCAGUUGUUUCUGUCCUAUCAGUAACCUUUCAGCCUGCUGAGACAAUAAUGUUAGAAGGCUGUAUUCACAUGACACACUACUGUAAGUGUCACAAGACACUACAGUGGUUGUAUGAGCCUGUGAUUACAUUCAUCCUUCUGCAGAACUACUAUCAUCAGCCCAUUCUCCUUUAUCCAAGCACAAAUGAUGAGAGAAACACUUGAGCAAGAGUUUCUCAGUCAGUUGAUACUUGCCUCCAGCUAACUGUGACAGUGAAUAGCCUGUGACUGGAGCACAAUUAGCUGCAGCAGCAGGGGGCUGAUCUUAACAAUGCUGUUGUUUUCCUCCUACCAUUGCGGUUGAGUUUUAUAGCCAUCCUAAGCACACAUUUUCACCUCUGUUUUGCAUUUACAAGGUACAUAGUCGGCGGAGACGUGAUGUAAGAAGUAAAGAAAGACAAAGACAAUAAAAUAUCACAUUUAUUAUUUAGUAUAGUUCAGCUGGUGGCAGCGUUCAUCACAUUCAGGAGGACAAAAUAUUUGAUUUGUAGUUUGCAUUGCUGGGAAAACUAUAUAAUGAACGUAUAUUUUCAGUCAGGUGUCAGGUUCAUGAAUGCAUCGAUGCUGCAGCAACCUGACAUAAGCAGCUAGGGGUGUAAUGAAAUGGCAUGUUGAGGUGACCUGUGCCAGCUUGUGGUUGGACCUGUGAGUUGUGUGUUGCCGGGUAGAAUCAGUGCAGUCAGGGACGAGAGUUGAAAGGGCGAGGGAGGUGGUGGCUGGAGUGCGGCGCGGAGCAGUCAAGGAUAGACCUCCAGUGUUUGUGAAGGGAGGGAGGCCGGCCAGCUCGGGUUCUGGGGGGACUGUGGGGCUCGUGGGCUGGCUGGGGUGGGGGGCAGCGGUGGUGGCAGGCAGGAGGGUUUUCUAACCAAGAGACUGUAACUCAUUGUAGCCUGACUCCACUGGCUUGGGUGGCAAAGAUCGUGAAGUCCUGGACAUUCAUCAACCUGCCGAGGAGGGCCGACUGACUGGAGCCAGGGUCUGUUUUCUUCCCCCCUUCUUCUCCCUCUCACUGUGUCAAUGGGAUCCAGUGCGACUGUGCCGAGGCAGCCGCCCUGAGGAGACAGACCUGGGCCUCAUGGGAGCUCAGCAGUACAAAUUUCCGUUUAUACCAGUGGCUGGGGCUGACGACACCGCAGCGCUCUACCCCACAGAUUGACGAGCCCUCAGAUGCCGAUUUACUGUACAUGGCAGCCACUCUGGAGCCGCCGCACAUCUGGAGUGGAGUACGCUUACUGAAAAACAGGGGCCAACCUUGGCCCAAACAAGUGUAGCAGAG